AUUGAACGCUGGCGGCAGGCCUAACACAUGCAAGUCGAGCGGGGCGGCGGACGGGUGAGUGAUACCUAGGAAUCUGCCUGGGCGUGGUAGAUAACGUUCGGUACCGGACGCUAAUACCGCUUACUAUCAGAUGAGCCUAGGUCGGAUUAGCUAGUUGGUGAGGUAAUGGCUCACCAAGGCUACGAUCCGUAACUGGUCUGAGAGGAUGAUCAUUCACACUGUGACUGAGACACGGUCCAGACUCCUACGGGAGGCAGCAGUGGGGAAUAUUGGACAAUGGGCGAAAGCCUGAUCCAGCCAUGCCGCGUGUGUGAAGAAGGUCUUCGGAUUGUAAAGCACUUUAAGUUGGGAGGCGUUACCUACAGAAUAAGCACCGGCUAACUAUGUGCCAGCAGCCGCGGUAAUUC
rnacentral:rRNA from 1 species